CUCCAGGGGUAUUUCACAUGGGCUCCCAGCCCUCUGCAUGUGCCUGGGCUGUUUCUCAGUUCCAGCCUGUUGAUCCCUGCACUGGCCAAGGGCUGAUGCUUCCCCUGCCAUGCUGACUUCAAGUCAUGCAGACACCUGAUGGAAGAGUCUUCCAGGCAGAAGGAAGGACAAAUACCCUUGAUAUACAUGUACUUGGCCGGCAUGAGGAAGAGCAAUGUGGAAGGAUACAGAUAGUUGGGAACAUAUAGUGCCUGUGAAUGACCAGUAUGCUCACUCCAAUAACAUCAGGCAAGCAAUUCCACAUAAUACUGAAGAAGGCUGUUGAAGUGACUGAAUCUGGCCAAAUAUUCUGAGCGUUUCGGAGGGAUUUUUAACAUUCUAAAUGCUAUCUGGAACAUCGAUGCAGCAUGGGAAGAAGUCACACAGCCAUGCAUGAACAGCAUUUGGAAGAAAGUUUUGAAGACAUAUGUGAACACAUUCAAAAUGUUAACAGAGAUUCUGCCGUAUUCAUAAGCUUGUUGGCAUCGAGGCUGAAGAGCUUUCCAAUGAGAAGCUGGAAAAAGAAAGAAGUAAAGAAGUUGGGGCAAAGAUAGAAGAAAUUGUUCCUGAGGCACCAAGAAAGUUCAUAGCAAAUAAACUGGCAGCGGUGUUUUCUACUAUCAGCAGUGGUGUGUGAAUGUUAGGACAAAUGGGUGACAAUUACAAUUGCUAUCACACACAUAUUGUUCCAUAGUCUCUCCUGUUCUUUGCCAGCCUUAUUACCUUUUCUUUUUUCCCUAUUAAUCCAAGAGCUCUAUGGGAGUAAAAAGGAUGCUCUUCCUUGCAAUGAAGAAAUAUGUAAUGAAAAGAAAAAACAUAUUGUCAAAACUUGGUAUCUACCUGAAGAACACUUUGCCUUCUAAACCAUAAACAAGUGUCAGUGUCCCAGUGCCUUCUGCCAGCUAUUCUCAAGACUCAUCAGAAGAGAGUGAAAUUGAUGACUCUGUAGCUGUAGCAUCCCCAUUAUCAGCACUUAAUUUUAGCUUAAUGCUUUGAACAUUCUUCAGGCUCAGUGUGCUUUCAUCUGUACACAUUAAUGGAAAUCUGGAGAUAGAAAGAUUUGGGUAUUGGUUCAGCAGCUCAAUGAUGCCAGGGCCAGUGUGUUGGCAUUCUUCUGGCCUUAUCCUCAUGGUUGCAAAUUGGUUCCUGCUGUCCCCAGUCAAAGGAGGAAGAAGAGGGAAUUGGCAGCAGUUAUCAGAGCCUUUAUCAGAAAAGCACAGAUUUCCCAGGAAUCCCCAGGAGACUUCUGGUUACAGUCCAUUGGCCAUAAUGUGGUCAAAUGGGCUUCCCUAUCAACAAGGGAGACAGAGAAAUUAAUUUAUUUCUUUGGAAAAUAAGAGAUAUGAUAUGAUCUAUAUCAAUACAGUAAUUAAUUCACCUGCAACAUGAUCGGCGAUGAAUCCUGGACUCGAAUCUUAAGAACCUAAGAAGAUGUGUGCUGGGGCAGACUGAAUCGUGGAAUUGCUUGCCCAGUUGGACUUCGGAUUUAUGACAGUGCUUUUUGGACUUUAAUGUAGAUAUAAAUCACCUGGGGAUCUGUUUAAAAUGUAGUUUCCUGGCCCAGCAGGGCUGUGAA